rnacentral:misc_RNA from 1 species
UGGCCUUGACAUCUACAGAACUUUCCAGAGAUGGAUUGGUGCCUUCGGGAACUGUAAGACAGGUGCUGCAUGGCCGUCGUCAGCUCGUGUCGUGAGAUGUUGGGUUAAGUCCCGUAACGAGCGCAACCCCUAUCCCUAGUUGCUAGCAGUUCGGCUGAGAACUCUAGGGAGACUGCCGGUGACAAACCGGAGGAAGGUGGGGAUGACGUUCGAGAGUACGUCC